UUGUAUAUUACAUUUUAUGAUUUUUAAAUUAAAAAUAAUAUGUUUAUAUUUACUUACAUGUACUUGAAUGAACUAAAGGUGCGUUUGUUUGCAAGGAUUUGAUUUUCCAAAAAAUAUUUUCUUGAUUUUACGGUGUUUGGUUGCUUGAAAAUAAAUUACAUGGGUAAAAGAUUUUCCAAAACAAGGUAAAUUAUGUGAGUUUUUUUAGGGAAAAUGUAUUACAGAUUUUUAAUCGGUAAGACAUUUUCUGAAAAAUCUUCCUCCACUCUCACCAUCCGUUCUUCAUCCUUUCUGUAAGAUUUUCUAAAAAACGGUAAGACUUUCUCCUUCUUUCGUUCUUCAUCCAAUUUCCUUCUUCAUCCAUUUUGUAAAAGUUUUUCUAUUUAAGAAUCUUCUUCUUCCUUCUUUUUUCUACUUUUUUAAGUUGUAAUUAUGAUUGCAGGUUGGCUCAUCCAGGAGGACCUGUUUAAGUACUAUUUUAUUCUCCCUUCUUCAUUUGUUCUGUAAGAUUGGCUGUCAAUAAUGCUUAAAGCUACCUUCUUUCAAAGUACUCUUUUAUUCAUUUCUUUUUCUUCUCUACUUUUGAUCUGUUUAAGUUUUCAUUAAUAUGAUUUUUUUUGGAAUUUUUGCUUGAUUUUGCAUCACAGAUCUAAUCUAGUUCAUAGAAAAAUUAUUUGUGUGCUAAAAUUUGACCCUUUUUUUUAGCUAGUUUGUCAAAUGAACUCUAAUACUCUGUUUGUUUCUGGGUUUUGCAUUAUUAAGCUUUUUUUAUGCUUUAUUAAAAUGUAUGUGCUGUUUAGAAUAAAAAAAAUGUUAAGUUAAUUAUUGAUAACAGUUGUUAAGAAUGCUCAAUUUUAAGUAUGAAAUUGCUGAACUGAAUAUACUUAAAUUUGUCGAGGAGAUGGACUGCUACUGGUUGAAAUAAUGGGGAAUUAUGGGAGGUUAAAUGCCAAACUUUGGUCUCUGUCCAAAUGCUGGACUUUCAGCAUUUAAUUUCCCUAUUUAAAGAUGUUUUAAACUUGCUAAAAAUACAACAAUUGCAUAUGUUAUUUACUUAAUUAAAUAAAUGGUAGCGAGUUCUUUACAUUUUCUUCCUUGGUUGUUUUUUUGGAUCUUUAUGCUGGUAUUUGUGAUGGAAUUUUGAUGAAAUUUCUAGCUAUCGAGGGAUCUACUGAUUUAAUAUACUGCCUUAUGGUUGUUUAUUGUUGUUCAAAGCAUGAUGAAAUAAACGUGUUGGUGUUGCUUAAUAUCUUAGAAAAGAUAAGGGUUUCAUUGAUAUUGUGUUUCAAUGGUCUCUUGAAGACAUAUUCAACGAUAAUCUUUAUAUCAUCAUCAUCACCCUUGAAUCUUUGGUUUUCUUUUUUUAUUAAACCUUAUUUACGGGUUUUCUUUGCAGCUUUUGGAAUAUCCACUUUUAUGGAAGUAGAAAAUGAUUGCUCUUAUACUUAAAAAUAGCUGUAGCAGUGAACUGGAAUAAACUUUCUUUGUGUGUGUGUGUUGCCCUAGCCCAUUUCUGCAUUCUAUAUUGUGAACGUCUUGCUUUUAGUCGGUCAUUGGCAACUAGAUAAAAGUGGCAUAUAGUUACAUAAGUAGUGAAUCGUGUAUAAGACUUGUGAAAUUUUUGCUAACAAGGGAAUUAGGAACUAAUAGCAGCUAAAACACAAUAACUUGUUAUUUUCUUGCUAUAAAACUCUUUUGAAAUAUCGUCAAUCAUUUUACUCUUUCAGCAGCCUAUUAUUGCCAAAGCCAAUAUCUGCUCAUAAAAAUAAAGUAGCACUUGAUUAGCUCCCUUUUCUGUUGCCUGCAUCGUGUUCCCCAUUUAUAUAUACCAAAUUUUGACUGCAAUUCAUGAGGCCUCCAUUUCUAGUUCUUCUUCGAGGGGUUUAUAUUGAUACAAGAAAAUGACAAUAAGAAAAAAAAAUGAAGUCCAUUGAUACAAUAGCUUCUCUUGUCGUAGUUAAUUUGAACUAUAUAUAUAUGUAUGUAAUUUGUGUAAUAUAUUGUUCCAUUUUUGACUCAUUUUUCAUUGUAGGGUGGUAAUGGUUGAACCAGUUUUGUUUUUUGAUAUGUUUUAAACAAUUUAACAUUUUACUCUCCAAUCAUUGUGUUACUCUCCAAACUUUGUUUGAUUUCAAUUUAUGACGAUUAAUAUUCUAGCUUAAUAAUUGAGUAUUAUUAUAUAUUUAAUUUGAUUUAUUUAUUUAUAAAUAGAUCAUUGUAAUAUAUGUAAAAACAAUUUAAAAUAUAAAUUUAUUAAUUAAUAUAUGUAAAAACAGUUUUUUCAGAAAAUAUUUUUAGGAAAUUUGCCAAAUAACAGAAAAUAUUUUACACAGAUUCAUCCAAACACCAGAAAAGUAAACCAUUUUCAAAAAAGUAAAUCAUUUUCCGGAAAACAUUUUACUGACAAACAAACGGAGUCUUUGCAAUAUGUUAAUUUUUAUUUUAUUUAAUUUCUUGUCUAAGUUAAUGCUAAUAUUGUUUAAGAUAGAAAAUAAUUUAUUUUUAUUAAAAUAUUUAUUAUUUCAAAAUAAAUAUUAAUUUAAAUAAUUUAAAAUUAUAUUAAUUGAGUAAUUGUUAAUUAACUUUAAUGUAUUUAGUUAGUUAUAACAAUGUAAAAAGUUAGAGGACUCGAAUAGCAAUUUUAAAAAGCAGAAGUACAUAAAUAAUUUGUUAAAAAGAUGGGAAGUCGCAAUUGUAAUUAUAUCAUUUUUAAAAUAUGUAAAUAAUAAUUGUACAAAAAUAUAAAGGACUGAAUUGGUUAUUUAAAAUUGUGGGAGCCCAUUUAGAAAACGUAAAAAAUAGGAUGCCCUUACUUCUUAUUAAACCAUUUUUAUUAUACCAUUUAAACCUAAAUACUUUCAUUUCAGCAGUUCUCUCUUUUUUUUUCUAUAAAAAAAAACAUUUUUAAUCUUUCAUUUCAGGAUUUUCCUUUUCAUGCUAUAUUUUUUCAUAUUUUAUUUCAUACCUUUGUGAUAUUGAUCAAUCUCGAAAGUGUCCCCACCAUUGUUUUGGUAGUUUUGAAUUUGGCAAAGGUGUUUUUUUUUUAAAUAAAAUUUUUAUUUAAUUAAGUUCUAAGGCUUUUUUCUUUUAAACAUUAUGUUGACGGUUGUUGGGUGUGCCUCAUAUUUAUUAGAUGUUUUGCAGGCACUUAUCGGAGACAAACAUGCGACAUCACAACGAGGAGAUAUGUGACAUUGCGAUAACGUAACGAGCAAGGGACGACGUCACAACAAGGGUCGUCGGGACUAGGUGACAAUCUCUUGAGGCAAGACCAGGGGCGACGUGACGAAGAGAGUCGUGACAUCACGACGAUAUCUCCCCUAAUGUAGCCGUGUUUUAGACUCCAAGUAAGACUUUUUCUCCCAGUUGGACUCUAAUUACUUCAAGGUUAUUUUAGUAUGAUUAGACCUCUAAUCUUAGCCUAUUUAUAGGGCCUUUGCAACCCUAAUUCAGACAUGCCAAUCAAUAAAGGCUUUUCUUGAUGGCAACAUGUAACACCUUAUACCCGACCCGAUCGCUGAGUUCGGGUACCAAAUGUCACAAUUAACUUGAGUUACUUAACAACAUUUUUAAUUAAAUUUAUUUACAAACUUAAUCAAUGCCAAAUUUAAUUCGUAUUUACCAGAUAACAUUAUUCUAAUUUCUUAUAUAUCAACAUGUUUCGAAAUCUAACUUCAAAUAAACUUUCUAUAAUCACUAAUACUCUUACAAUCAUUUUGCCUUACUACGCAUGAACAAUUAUUUACAUGGACUUGAAACAUAAGACUUCAUUAUAAAAUAUGCUUAAUCAACCCCCGAUGCGUAGUCUCUAAGAGUACCCCUCUAUAGACAUGAAGCAACUAUUACGCCCUUCUUGUGAACUUGGCAGUGUUUGGCUUGGUCCCGUCCCAUAAUAACCUUGUCAGCCUUUGAUCUUGCAUCAAAGGAAACCACUCAUAAGUUCAAAUGAACUUAGUAAGAUGUCUUACAUUAAUUAUUUAUGAAUAACUCAAUGUUAUCACGAGUAUAAAGAUUUGAUGCGCGUAAGUAAACUCCCUGAAUUUCUUGUAAACCUUUAUAGUUCACUAGCACAAACGACGUCCAUAUGUUAAUACUCUUUCUAAAGCCCUUUUUUGGGGACGUGGCGUUGUCAGACUUCAUCUCAGAUUUUUAUGUUACCUAGCUGAAUUGGUGCAUCGAGAAACAACCACACCAGCAGAUAUACGAAUUGUCGACACCCUUUGGCGGACUUACAAAUACCUCACCACCAUAGCAGAUUCCUACCUUGUUCCCUUCAUUCCGUUUUGAACUCAUUAUCGACUUACUGUAUUAUCCCAACAUUUACUUUCUUAUAACUUGUGAAUAUACUCUUUCAAAUGAAAACCCGUUCUCUUACCUUCUCGUAUGAGGCCUUCGAAUAUAAGAUGAAGAAGCGAAUCAAUCAGAAUGGAGACAGGGGGGAGAGGCGAAAGAAAGAUUGUCGAGCCUGCAAGCAGCAAGCAACAACGGCUGAAAAGCCGUUGCGCGCUAGCUUAUAGUUUAGGGGUAUAGUAGGGGUGCCCCUUUCUAAAACUUAUAUUUAAUAUAAGGUAAGCUUUUUUUGGAACUUUCGUUUUGGAGUUUUCCCCAACCUAUACCUUACUAAUAUUACUAAAAAAUAGGGGCUUACGUUUUUCAGCCGCAUCGCACUUCCGCAUAAACAAUGGAUCCGCUGGGCUGGAUGAGCAACCUUCUCUGGAAAAUAAUAGUGACUUCUAUCUCGUGUAUGUAUACUUGUAAGAUGGUCCUACUAGUCCUUUCCUCAUCAAGAUAGCCUGAAUAAAUAUUUCCUUAACUAGCUAGUCAUGCUGGACUUCCCAACCAUUGUUAGUUCCCAAUGGACUACCACUUCGCUAGAUCAGAUUAGGCAAACUUCCCUUUUAUAAGUUAGUCUUUAGUGGACUUCUUAACGUUAGAUAGUCCCAGUAGACAUCCUCUUCCCUUGAUAUUCCCUAACAGACAUUCCACCUAAGAUAGUUCUUGGUGAAGUUUCC
rnacentral:lncRNA from 1 species